UGAAGUCUGAACAUCUUCUGGUUCUAUACUGGUUUUCAUGAUGGCUUCCGUGUAGUUUCUUUCUUUGCAGGCAGGAAGUAUUUCUAAAUCGAUUUGAAGCAAGCCUGUGCCAUUGCGGGUAGGAUACACAUAUGUUGUCUUAGGCCUCCUGGCUCUGUAGGCUUGAAAUGAGGUCUGCAGAGAGCUGUUGGAAAGGCUGGGCACAAUCAACUCAUCUUCUGCUCAAGGGGAAUAGAGCACCUACCUUUUCUGUCCAGAAAGAGGAUGGUGGCAUCUCAGCAGUAGAAUGUAACUGAAUGCGUGAGAAAGAAGAAGCUGAUAAUGACAGAAUUCGAUCAUGGAGAGUUGAUGAAAGAAGAAAUAAUGACAUAGAAUGUCACAAUGGCACAACCUGGAUGUUCCCAACACUCCUUUGCUGGUGUGCUAAUCAAUAUGAGCUGGCUAUAACUUUUGGUGAAAGGAGUCUUGCACCUGUUCAGCUCUGCUGACGAUGGGACAUACAGCCCUUCUU
rnacentral:lncRNA from 1 species